GCAUCGUUGGUCUAAUGGUUAGGAUAUCUGCCUUCCAAGCAGAUGGUCCGGGUACAAUUCUCGGACAGUGCA
rnacentral:tRNA from 1 species